rnacentral:rRNA from 1 species
AUUGAACGCUGGCGGCAGGCCUAACACAUGCAAGUCGAGCGGAUGAAGGGAGCUUGCUCCUGGAUUCAGCGGCGGACGGGUGAGUAAUGCCUAGGAAUCUGCCUGGUAGUGGGGGAUAACGUCCGGAAACGGGCGCUAAUACCGCAUACGUCCUGAGGGAGAAAGUGGGGGAUCUUCGGACCUCACGCUAUCAGAUGAGCCUAGGUCGGAUUAGCUAGUUGGUGGGGUAAAGGCCUACCAAGGCGACGAUCCGUAACUGGUCUGAGAGGAUGAUCAGUCACACUGGAACUGAGACACGGUCCAGACUCCUACGGGAGGCAGCAGUGGGGAAUAUUGGACAAUGGGCGAAAGCCUGAUCCAGCCAUGCCGCGUGUGUGAAGAAGGUCUGCGGAUUGUAAAGCACUUAAGUUGGGAGGAAGGGCAGUAAGUUAAUACCUUGCUGUUUUGACGUUACCAACAGAAUAAGCACCGGCUAACUUCGUG